rnacentral:tRNA from 1 species
AAGGCUUUAAGUUAAUUCAAACUAAUAACCUUCAAAGCUAUCUAUAAAGAAAUAUUCUUUAAGCCUUA